rnacentral:RNase_P_RNA from 1 species
GAAGCACGCCAGGCCGUCGCUGGUGCAAGUCUCGAAAGAGCGCACUGGAGGAACGUCCGGACUGCACAGGACAGCGCAGGAGCUAACGGCUCUCCACCGUGAGGUGAGGAUCAGAGCAACAGAGACGAGCCGAUUCAGUUCGGGUGAAACGGGCAAUCUCUGCGCGCAGCAACACCAAGUAGGCCGGUAU